rnacentral:tRNA from 1 species
GGGUCGUUAACUCAGAUGGUAGAGUAUCUGACUUUUAAUCAGAGAGUCACUGGUUCGAUCCCAGUACGACCCACCA